AUACGGAGGAUCCAAGCGUUAUCCGGAUUUAUUGGGUUUAAAGGGUGCGCAGGCGGCCUUAUAAGUCAGUGGUGAAAUCUCCCGGCUCAACCGGGAAACUGCCAUUGAUACUGUAAGGCUAGAAUACAGACGAGGUAGGCGGAAUGUAGCACGUAGCGGUGAAAUGCUUAGAUAUGCUACAGAACACCGAUCGCGAAGGCAGCUUACCAGACUGUAAUUGACGCUAAGGCACGAAAGCGUGGGGAGCGAACAGGAUUAGAAACCCUGGUAGUCC
rnacentral:rRNA from 1 species